AUGAGCAGCCUAGCUGAGCAAUUCAAUCGGAUCCGGGACGCUGUGCGUGAGUUGAUGGAGUUGGUCGGCACAGAUUCUGAAAUCAUCAAGUCUCCCGUGCAAGAGCCAAUGACUGAGGAGAUUGCGGUUGACCACGACAACGUCAUUGCCGGUCUUGCACCUGCGGUGAGUAUCCCCGACGCCAGCCUCGACGUUGGCGUUGACGAGGCCGUGCCUCAUGUCAUCUCACCACCAACCAUCAUCAUCGAGGAGGCCGCUGAGGUCGUCCUUUCUGCUACCAGCAGCUCAUGCUCCUUGUUGCAUGCCAUGUGGUCGACAGAAUACCCAAGCCAGAAGGGUGCCACAUUGGCUUCUGUGUUCACCCCAGCCGCAACACCUACGUCGCUCACGGCCACGGUCGUCGUCGUCCCCUUGCUUGCUGCACCUGCGGCAAGCGGCGGAACCCUCGACAGUAGCCACAGCGGAAGUGGCCUAGGAAUGCUGCCCCUGACUCCAUGGAGUGUGUCUGCAUCCUUCACUGAGUCUCCGGGGCUCUGGCCAGCCCAGCUGUGCUGGUUGUCUGUUCUCCUCGUGCUGGACACCAAGUCGUCCUCAAGGUGUUCGACAACGUGCCUCAUCAACCACACCGAGUUGUUCAUGUACAUGUCUAUCGUAUAUGUGAUCUCGAGUAUCAUGCGACCGAGACAAGGGCUACGACCAAGGCCAUGGCCUUCCUUCAUCGGUGACCAAGCUGCACAUGGUGAGAGCGCUGCCACUAAUGAAGCAGAGUACAAAUGGAAGCCACUCUUUGGCUCUCGAAUAAAUUCAAAGACUAAUGUCUUUGUGCCACUCAGGCAAACUGGAGGAAACAAUGACAGACGGUUUUCGAGUCCUGGGAACACGACGCUCUUCAAGUAG
rnacentral:rRNA from 1 species